rnacentral:rRNA from 1 species
GACGAACGCUGGCGGCGUGCCUAAUACAUGCAAGUUGAGCGCUGAAGGUUGGUACUUGUACCGACUGGAUGAGCAGCGAACGGGUGAGUAACGCGUGGGGAAUCUGCCUUUGAGCGGGGGACAACAUUUGGAAACGAAUGCUAAUACCGCAUAAAAACUUUAAACACAAGUUUUAAGUUUGAAAGAUGCAAUUUCAUCACUCAAAGAUGAUCCCGCGUUGUAUUAGCUAGUUGGUGAGGUAAAGGAUCACCAAGGCGAUGAUACAUAGCCGACCGGAGAGGGUGAUCGGCCACACUGGGACUGAGAAACGGCCCAAACUCCUACGGGAGGCAGCAGUAGGGAAUCUUCGGCAAUAGACGAAAGUCUGACCGAGCAACGCCGAGUAAGUGAAGAAGGUUUUCGGAUCGUAAAACUCUGUUGGUAGAGAAGAACGUUGGUGAGAGUGGAAAGCUCAUAAAGUGACGGUAACUACCCAGAAAGGGACGGCUAACUACGUG